GACAGCGGGGGCAAGCGUUGCUCGGAAUCACUGGGCGUAAAGGGCGCGUAGGCGGGAUGGCAAGUCGGUCGUGAAAUCUCUCGGCUCAACCGAGAAACGUCGGCCGAUACUGCCGUUCUUGAGGGAUGCAGAGGAGACUGGAAUUCCCGGUGUAGCGGUGAAAUGUGUAGAGAUCGGGAGGAACACCGGUGGCGAAGGCGGGUCUCUGGGCAUUUCCUGACGCUGAGGCGCGAAAGCGUGGGGAGCAAACGGG
rnacentral:rRNA from 1 species